UGCGUAGGCGGGUUUCUAAGUCAGAGGUGAAAGCCUGGAGCUCAACUCCAGAACUGCCUUUGAUACUGGAAGUCUUGAGUAUGGCAGUGGUGAGUGGAACUGCGAGUGUAGAGGUGAAAUUCGUAGAUAUUCGCAAGAACACCAGUGGCGAAGGCGGCUCACUGGGCCAUUACUGACGCUGAGGCAAAGCUGGGGAGCAAACA
rnacentral:rRNA from 1 species